GAUGAACGCUGGCGGCGUGCCUAAUACAUGCAAGUCGAGCGAACAGACGCGGAGCUUGCUCCUCUGACGUUAGCGGCGGACGGGUGAGUAACACGUGGAUACCCUCCCUAUAAGACUGGGAUAACUUCGGGAAACCGGAGCUAAUACCGGAUAACAUGUUGAACCGCAUGGUUCAACAGUGAAAGACGGUCUUGCUGUCACUUAUCGAUGGAUCCGCGCCGCAUUAGCUAGUUGGUAAGGUAACGGCUUACCAAGGCAACGAUGCGUAGCCGACCUGAGAGGCGGAUCGGCCACACUGGAACUGAGACAGGGUCCAGGCUCCUACGGGAGGCAGCAGUAGGGAAUCUGCCGCAAUGGGCGAAAGCCUGACGGAGCAACGCCGCGUGAGUGAAGAAGGUCUUCGGAUCGUAAAACUCUGUUAUUAGGGAAGAACAAAUGUGUAAGUAACUAUGCACGUCUUGACGGUACCGAAUCAGAAAGCCACGGCUAACUACGUG
rnacentral:rRNA from 1 species